UUAAGUUCAGCGGGUCUUCCUACCUGAUCCGAGGUCAACCUUUGGGUACCCCUUGGGGGGUGGGUUUCACGGCCGGAACCCGCCGCACGCCCUGAGCGAGACAGAAAUGCUACUACGCUCGGUGUGGUCAGCGAGCCCGCCACUGGUUUCAGGGCCUGCGGGCGCGCCGCAGGUCCCCAACACAAGCCGGGGGCUUGAUG
rnacentral:misc_RNA from 1 species